AGAAUAUGGUGCUCCUGAAGAUUCUGAACUGAAAAAACAAUCAGAAUUACUUAAAAAUAAUUUGAUAUCAGUAGAAUUAUGCUGUUCUAUAAAUCCUGAUAAAAAACCUGUUGCUAAAAAGUUACCAGCAAUGAUGACUGUUGGGAAAGUGAAAACGCUUGCCUGUCGGCUUUUUAAUCAAAAUAUCCAAGAUAUUAUUUUAUGGGUUGUGAGUUCUAAGGAAAGUGAACCAGAAAUUGAAAUGGAUAAUGAUUUGCGAGAAAUAUCAUUUUAUUCUGUAAGAAAUGGCGAUAAAAUAUAUGUAAGAUAAACUAAAAAUAUUUUUUCUGUAAAUAUUCUAUAGACGUUUAUUUAUUUUUAUUAUUACUAAAAUUGUAAAUAUUAAUAAAUUUCAUAUCUUCAAAAUAUAUUCAAGUUGUUGAUUUUCAUUCAAUCACAUAAUUCAUUAAAACUGACAUUUUUACAUUUAUAAAAAUGUAAAAAUAGUUUAAUGUCAAAUGUGGAUCUAUGUGUUUGAAAUAGAUACUGCUGAAAAAUCUCUAUUUAAUAUAUUAAUUUAUAUAAUAAUGCAUUAUUAUAUAAUGAAUCUCCAUUUCCAUAGCCAUAUUUCUAAACAACUGAUUUCUUAUAAAAAUACAAAUAUAAUAA